CCUACGGGCGGCAGCAGUGAGGAAUAUUGGUCAAUGGACGAGAGUCUGAACCAGCCACGUCGCGUGAAGGAUGACUGCCCUAUGGUUUGUAAACUUCUUUUAUAAAGGAAUAAAACGAGGCACGUGUGCCUUUUUGCAUGUACUUUAUGAAUAAGGCUCGGCUAACUCCGUGCAAGCAGCCGCGGUAAUACGGAGGAUCCGAGCGUUAUCCGGAUUUAUUGGGUUUAAAGGGAGCGUAGAUGGGUUGUUAAGUCAGUUGUGAAAGUUUGCGGCUUAACCGUAAAAUUGCAAUUGAUACUGGCAGUCUUGAGUACAGGUGAGGUAAGUGGAAUUCGUGGUGUAGCGGUGAAAUGCGUAGAUAUCAAGAAGAAUACUGAUUGCGAAGGCAGCUUACUAAACUGUGACUGACAUUGAUGCUCGAAAGUGUGGGUAUCAAACAGGAUUAGAUACCCCUGUAGUC
rnacentral:rRNA from 1 species